UACGUAGGCAGCGAGCGUUGUUCGGAGUUACUGGGCGUAAAGAGUGCGUAGGCGGUUUUCUAAGUUUGGUGUGAAAUCUCCCGCUUAACUGGGAGGGUGCGCCGAAGACUGGAAGGCUUGAGUAUGGGAGAGGGAUGCGGAAUUCCAGGUGUAGCGGUGAAAUGCGUAGAUAUCUGGAGGAACACCGGUGGCGAAGGCGGCAUCCUGGACCGGUAUUGACGCUGAGGCGCGAAAGCCAGGGGAGCAACGGG
rnacentral:rRNA from 1 species